GAUGAACGCUAGCUACAGGCUUAACACAUGCAAGUCGAGGGGAAACGACAUCGAAAGCUUGCUUUUGAUGGGCGUCGACCGGCGCACGGGUGAGUAACGCGUAUCCAACCUGCCCAUCACUUGGGAAUAACCUUGCGAAAGUAAGACUAAUACCCAAUGAUAUCCCACGAAGGCAUCGGAAUGGGAUUAAAGAUUUAUCGGUGAUGGAUGGGGAUGCGUCUGAUUAGCUUGUUGGCGGGGUAACGGCCCACCAAGGCAACGAUCAGUAGGGGUUCUGAGAGGAAGGUCCCCCACAUUGGAACUGAGACACGGUCCAAACUCCUACGGGAGGCAGCAGUGAGGAAUAUUGGUCAAUGGGCGAGAGCCUGAACCAGCCAAGUAGCGUGCAGGAAGACGGCCCUAGGGGUUGUAAACUGCUUUUAUAAGGGAAUAAAGUGGGUCACGUGUGACUUUUUGCAUGUACCUUAUGAAUAAGAACCGGCUAAUUCCGUG
rnacentral:rRNA from 1 species